GACGAACGCUGGCGGCGUGCUUAACACAUGCAAGUCGUACGGUAAGGCCCUUUCGGGGGUCCACGAGUGGCGCACGGGUGAGUAACACGUGAGUAACCUGCCCACAACUUUGGGAUAACGCUAGGAAACUGGUGCUAAUACUGGAUAUGUGCUCCUGCUGCAUGGUGGGGGUUGGAAAGCUCCGGCGGUUGUGGAUGGACUCGCGGCCUAUCAGCUUGUUGGUGGGGUAGUGGCCUACCAAGGCGGCGACGGGUAGCCGGCCUGAGAGGGUGACCGGCCACAUUGGGACUGAGAUACGGCCCAGACUCCGACGGGAGGCAGCAGUGGGGAAUAUUGCACAAUGGGCGCAAGCCUGAUGCAGCAACGCCGCGUGCGGGAUGACGGCCUUCGGGUUGUAAACCGCUUUCAGCAGGGACGAAGCUUUUUGUGACGGUACCUGCAGAAGAAGCACCGGCUAACUACGUG
rnacentral:rRNA from 1 species